rnacentral:rRNA from 1 species
UACAGAGGAUGCGCGCGGUAAUCGGAAUUACUGGGCGUAAAGCGUGCGUAGGCGGACGUGUAAGUCGGGUGUGAAAGCCCCGGGCUCAACCUGGGAAUUGCAUUCGAGACUGCACGGCUGGAGUGCGGAAGAGGGAAGCGGAAUUUCCGGUGUAGCGGUGAAAUGCGUAGAUAUCGGAAGGAACAUCAGUGGCGAAAGCGGCUUCCUGGAACAGCACUGACGCUCAGGCACGAAAGCGUGGGGAGCAAACAGG